ACGUCCCUUUCGUUGAUCUUCCGGUGGUGAUGUGGUCAUAUUUGCGGUGUGGCUUUAUCAGUCUUGCUCCCUUUUCCCUUUCCCAACAGCAAGCGAUGGUAGAUCCGGAACAUAGGAUUUGGCAGUGACGACAAGAGAAGGAGGCUGCUCCGGCGAAGACGUAUGGUGGCUGUGGCGGUGGUGUGUGUGAGGAGAACGAGCCCAUGAGCGAUGAGUCCAGCACAAGGAAUUCCUUCUCGGCUUCCCCUUCACCUCUCGCACCGCCACCGCCAUGAUCGUGCCAUCCUCUGUUUAUCGGUUUUCCUUGCGUCUAUUGGUUUUCUUUGAGUGUUUUGGUUAGCUUUGGCUCUUUCUAUUGAUGCAAUUAGUACCGACUGGGAAAUGAAUCUCGUCGUUGGUGAUAUGUUGAUUUCAUUUUGUAGGGCCUAAUGAUGGUGACGAUGUAUUCUUUGAUUUAAUUAUAAGGUUCUGUGCAGAUUUCAGCCCGAUUCUGCUGGAUUAGAAGGUUUAGGCAUUACCUAUUUGGAAGAUUUGCUUCGUCUGCAAACAAUGAUUUCGAAGCAGAAGGACACAAAUGUAACCUCGGCAGAACCAACAGAUUGCAGAUAUCAAAGUCCUAUGUGGUUUGAGUUAUAUAAAUAAUCAGCAUGUUGCAAACUCCACUCCAACUUUGACUGCCAAAUCAGGUGAAGGAAGAGGCAAGAGGUUGGGAGCCCGCAUCGAAGCAAGUUCUGAAAUUAUUAUCAUUGUGGUGAAGAAUUCAGAAGCUGGUGCAGGUUCUAUACAAGGUUGAAUUUGAGCUACGUACUGUUGGAUUUGUUUCGUUCUUCAAGUUCAAUAUGUCGGCCGGUGGCGUGCAACAAGUGGAGGAAUUCACCCAUAAUACAUCAACGAUUUGCCUCCCCCUACUCGUCGGUGUUUUGUGGUGGUAUGUAGCUGCCACACCUUCAACCCAGCCUGCUACCCUGUGCCUCCACCUCGAGUCAUGCAAUCACUCUGACUCCAUAACGGCUGAAAUCAAGUUAAUGUUGUGUUGAUGUAUUGUCAGGAUUAAGGUUGAUUGGUUACACACUUGGCUAUUCUGAGCAAGGUAAUUAAUACAUACAUGAGGUCA